UGAAAUAGUUUGAUAGAAAAAAAGAGAGAAAUUCGCCAUCCUCUGAGCAUAUGAGAUUGAUCCGAAGAACGCUAAAUCAAUCAAAUUUCCCGCGUAUUGAAAUCGGGAAGAUGUUUGUGCUCAGAGUUUCUCUCAAAGCGAUAUUCUGGAAUCAAUAGAUCGAGUCGGUUGCUCAACAUUGUCUCCAACCGGUUCUCAAGACAGCUUUUACUUUGUUGUCUGAACCAGUUUUGUAAAUGGCAUUGUUGUGUCUGUUGCAACUUUUUCAAGCCGUCUCCGUUUGGUGAACUUUUGUGUUUGUGGGCAAUGAGUUGCCUACCACUUUCUUCCAGGGGGCAAGGUCAACUGUUGUACCGGACCGUCCAUUCUUGUUCUUUAAUGGGAAUCAAUCUCUUAAAAUGGUAUUUAAUAAUACGAGUUGCAUUCAUAAUCUCGAAUUAAGAUCUUUCAUCAUCAGUUAAAUGUUAUUAAAG